rnacentral:lncRNA from 1 species
GUCCAUUCUGAGAGGCAGCUUCCCUGGGGGUCUCCAUCUCUGAUCCUCAGGCCGUGACUUGGGGUACCCCCCAUCCUGGGACAGUGGGACCUGUACUCCUCUGAUCUCUCAACCACGGGAGCCACGAAGCGGGGAGGAGGAUCCUUGUGGUCCAGGGAGGAGCCUCUGGCUGAGCAGUUCUGUCCAGGCUGCAGGGGGUAAACAAGUGCUGGAGAGGGACUUCCCUGGUGGUCCAGCGGGUAAGAUUCUGCGCUCCCGGUGCACAUACUGCAACUAAGUCCAAGUGCCACAACUGCUGAGCAUGCGUCCUGCAAUGGGAGACGUCUACGCACUGCAGUGAAGACCCAGAGGAGCCAAAAGAAAAAAAAGUGCUGAAGAGCUCAUGCUCUCUGCUGAUGACAGACGGAAAGUCGGUGAAUGAACAUCCCGACUCUCCCUUUCCUCAUCUGAUAUGACUGUAAGGCAUAUUCUUUUUUUUUCAAAGAUACUUUAGAAAUCCCAUGUAUUUGGAACUUAAAUGUCCACUUUUAAAUGAUGGGUGUAUCUAAGAACCCAUACAAGGAA